GGUUGCUCAUUUGGCCCUUUAUGUCAGCGCCUAUCACGGCCGGCUCCAUAAAACAUCGAAUGACGCCAUUAGCACGGCGCCUACCGUCCGGAAAUAUCGAUAACAGCCGCCUCGGCGCUUUAUCAGGCACAGGACGACACGUUGAGUGAGGCGCCACCUA
rnacentral:sRNA from 1 species